rnacentral:lncRNA from 1 species
GUCAUCCUGGGCUCUCUGUCGUCUAGCAGGCCUGAUGCACAGAGGGGAAAUGGGCCUGCCUCCCCCACCCUGACUCACUACAGGUCCAUGGCACCCAGCCAGAGCCCACAACUUGUUCACAGCUUUUUGGAAGUUCUACAUUCUUCCUCUCUGCUCUGCCAGCUGAGACAAUUCCUCUCUCCUGCAUCUGGUCUCUGGACUGGGCCCAGACCACCCUACUACCAUUAGCACUGCAAGAUAGAUGAGGUGGAGAGACAGAGCUGGGACCCUGAGCCCACCCUGGCAUUCUCUUUGCUCAACAUCAGGCUCCUUUCCCCUCAUCCCUGCAGGAACUCUGGCUGCCUGGCAGCCUGUGGGGCACAGGAUUUGGAAGGCAUAAAGCUCUUCGGAGGUGAGCCAGGGCAACCUUCUUGGGGUAGAAGAGGAGAAACAGAGGCCUGGAUGUAGGCAAGAGAUCUAUUCCAGAUCACAUUCAGCAGACUGAAAUCCAGGACAACCUGUCCAAGGGUAGCACCAUCGCAGAUGAGCUGGGCCCUCCCACAUCAAUCAUUAAUCAAGAAAAUGCCCUAUAGACUUGCCUUCAGGCCAUUCUGAUGGAGACAUUUUCUCAAUCAAGAAUUCUCUUUCCAGCUUUCUAAAUGAGCAAUCUGCAUCAAGCCAGAGGAACGAGGAAGAAAGUGAGGUGCACCCUGACCUCAGAUGUCUGUCUUCCGUCAUCAGAGCAGUUUCUUGCUCUUCCGGACUCGGAUGGCCGUGUUAAACCCCACAUGUGGUUCUGUGGUUGCCCACAAAGCUUAAAAAUAGCCAACAGGAACAGGGGAAUCCCCACUGGUGAGUAGGGCUGGCCGUUCCCCAGGUGUCUGCUGACCAGCCUCCCUCAUGUACUAUCUAGAGAGAGCUGGGUAUCUAGGAGGGUGUCCUGGAGGCCAUGCUGAUCCUGGAACACACGUUAUUUUCAUACCUCUGGGCAGAUGAGGAAACUGAGCCUCUAAGAGAUGAAAUACCCCAUUUGAAGCUAAGGAGUGUGGAUCUCUCACCCCUACUGUGGCUUGUUUAUCUUGAGCUGGGGACACAAGAAAAAGAACAGGCCCUUCAGAGCCACAUAGACUUUGCUUCCAACUGCAGCCACCCUGGCCACUCCUGGUGGCCUCAGCUGUACCAUAGGGGCUGUGUUGCCCACUUGUAGGAGGAUUGUGGUGGGGAUCCAGGGAAAUAAGGCCCUUGGCACCCACAGCAGGUCCAUCACUGCUACCAGAACUCAGCGUACAGUUUCUGGCCUUCCACCACUUGAGACCAAGCUUCCAAAGUAGGAAGAGUGUGUCCCCCAUCAAAGAAGUGAAAGCACCCACAAAAGCCCCAGAGUGCAGGCCCCUGUGACAGACUAUAACCUUCUAUAGCUGACUUCUGGAGUAGUUCCAGUUCUUUGAACUGAAACCUUAUCAUUCACCAUGGGGAGAUGGAGUCCAUCAACCCUCAUCUGGGGACUGUCACCUUUGGAAUUUCCUCAAUGAAGAGGAUGUGGCAGAAGUGACGUCACAUCACUUCCUAAGCUUAACCUUAACUGAUGGCUGGUGAUGAGGAUGAUGACAUCCCGUCGUGAGAAAGCCCCUGCCUCAGCUAAAGUCACAGCCGACAGCCAACCUCAGCAGCGCGACAUGCCUGUGAAAAGUCCUUCAUAUGAUUCUGUCCACCAGACUUCCUCCCAGCCUAGUAAAGAUCACUUAGAGCAGAAGCCAACUGAACCUGAACCCUGCCAGAAGGCAGGUUUGAAAGCAAAACAAAUGUCACUGUUUCAAGCCACUGUCUCAGGUGGCUGGUGACUCAACACUGGAUCACAAGGAUAGCCUUGCAGCUCAUGGUGGCAGGACCUGCAGUCACCCCUCCUGGUUCUGUGUCACAGGUAGAAUUGCAGAGCUCAGGUUAGGGCCCUUGGACCAACUUUUAUGAUAAAUCCCUGUUUGUCAUAUGAGAGUCUCUCAGGGGACCUGGGUUUUGAAUGAAUCAGCUGAGAGGAAGGAGGGGUAAGUUUUAAGGGGUCUGGACAGAGAGGAGUUUGGAGAGGCCCCACUCUGUGUGCUCCAUCCAGUAAGGACUUCUCCUCAGGCUGCUCACGGACUGAUCAAAGUACAAGAGGAAGCCAAGUAGCUCUGGUCGGGCCCUGGUAGGCUCUGCCAAGGGUGAAUGGGAGCAGCAGAGGAGGGAACAGCCUGCAGGAGCUGAAACAGUGGAACACACCAGACGGGGUUGAGCAAGAGGUCUGCCUCUGAGACUUCUCAGAAAACAGGCAGCAUGCCCUCCCUCUCCCCCUCCCUCUCCCUCCUGGCCCUAUCUAGAGAGAUUAAGUCAGGGAGGUUCCCAGACCGGAGGCGGAGGCAUCCUUAUCAGCCAUGUCUGGGGUACUUGGGAAUGUGAACCCUCCUGCCUGCGGCCCAGCCCUGAGAAGACACCCAGCAGAUGAAGUGUGUCUUGCUCCUGCAGGCCUGCCAACAAUGGCUCCAGGGUCCUCCUCAUCCAUACGCAAGAUGUGUGCUGCCUCUUGAAGCUUUUCUGUCAGUGUGGCCCUGACCAACAUACCCUGUGAAGAAGAUGGCCUGCCUGGAGGAGAGUAGCAUGGCGCACAGUCUGGUGAGCCUUGGGAUCUGCAGAGCACCCUUUCAUACCUCUUGCCGUAUGCCAGGUGCCACUUUGAGUGAUCUUCAUGCAUCACCUCAUGUAAUUCCCACAACCCCCCGCUCCCUACCACCCCCCACGUCAUUUCUUCUUUGUGGAGAAGGAAACUAGGGUGCUGGCCCAAGCAGCAGAGCUGUGGAUACAGUGCACACUAGAAGACUCAGAUGGGGGUUCAGAUCCCCAAAUGCCACCCUAUUGUAAGAAACAGACAAGCAAGGCUGGGCGUUCAAGGAACCUGACAUACCCAGAGCCUCCAAGGGCUUCCCAUCACCAUCAAGGCUUUCAUGCCUAUGGAGAAAUGAGAAGUUGAGGACAUAGGAGGGCCUUGAUUCCACCCUCUGGGAAAAUCUUUGGAAGAUAUGACCCUUGGAAUAUCAGGAGGGUUUGAUAGAUAGAUUGAAUAGAGAGAAGAGUGAAUCCUGGGCAGAGGGAGUUGGAAGGUGAAAAUCCAGAGGUCUGGCUCCUGUGAGGAAUAGUGCCAGUUGGAGGGGCUGGAGAACAACAUCUCUCAGGACUGCAAGAGCCAGCAAGAUAGUAAGGGCCGUCAUGCUUAUGCGGAAAAAUUAGAUUUUACCCCAAGUGCAAUGAACUAUGGAAGAGUUUUGAAGAGAGGAGGACUGUGAUUAGUCACAUGUCCAAAAGAAGAUAUUGUGAAGAGGUGAGGAUGGAGGGUGAGAUGGGUAAGGGGAGACUGUGGGGUAUACAGAUCUGAAGAUAGCAGGCAAGCAUUAGAGUCCAUCAAAGGUAGGGAAUGGGUGGUUGUGGGGAAAGGGGAGGCAGGGGAUGUCAGAGCAGCUUGGGCAUAUCAGGGAUGACACCAGAGGGUCCUGGAAAGUAGAACCAGGCUCAGCUUACAGUACUGAUGAGGACACACCAAGCAUAGCUUUAUGGGGCCUGGGUCUGAGCUCAGCCCUGAUACCAGGUCCUAACAGGAGUGGUUGGAAUGAUAGAAGGUGACUGGGCCCUUUUGGCAGAGUGUUGGCUGGGGUGACUAGGACAGACUGGGACUUAAAAAGAUGCCCAGUAUCAAAAACAGAAGGACAAGCAUCUCAUAGCCACUACAUCUCUGUAGGCUGGUUUGUAGCUGUGAUGACUGAGGGCUCCACAGGCCUCUGGUCUGUGUUCUAUUCUGUGUGUACAGUGUGGAAGCCAGAUCAGAAGGCCCCCUUCCCUUCUCUCUCUGACUUGCUGACUUGGCUUCCUCUGAUCCUAAUAGACCUUAGGCCUUCCCCCAGCUUCAGCAGCCUCCGCUAAUCCACAGCUGGUAUUAAGCCAAAUGAACUCUCAGCUUGCACGGAGGCCUCAAUGUUUGUUCAAAGAACAAAUGAACAGACGGCUGUUGCCAAGACCCAGCUUCUGCACUGCUGUCCAAUUAGUCAGGCCUUGGGAUAUGGACCAGCUCUGGGGCUCUCAGAUCCUCUACCCCUAGAUAUCCCUGCCUGUUGUCUGAAUGUUGGGAGGGGAGACCGUAAGGCCCGGGAAUCUUCCCUUCAGUUUCAGGACCAGAUCUUGGUACAUCAAAGCCCCUGGGCCCAGACCAGGGAUGCAUAGCCCUGCUCCCUCAGAAUUGGAAUGCAGGAGGAAGGCAGCUGAGCAGAUGCAUAGUGACCUUAUAACCUUCUUUACGGAGUGCUAUGGCCCCCACUCACAGAGGCUCAGUGAGGCAGGGAGGAAGGGAAAGCCAUGUGGCAAUGCAGACUAGAGCUCAGAGAGAGGGGCUUAUGCUCAUGCCACACAGCAUGUCAGGUGUGGUGCUUACAGGAAUUGUUGACAAGUGACCUGGACUUCUUCUGGAUCCUGCAUCCUGUCCCAAGGUAAAAUUAAGAGGGGAGAUGCCAGGACCCCAAGCAAACGUGGGGACCAUGUCCCCUUGCUGACAUUUCUGGGCCAUGACCAUCUCUGGGUACCUCUUCUCUGUAUGCUUUUCUCUUUUGUCCUAUUAACUCUUGUCAUGUGGUCUCUGCUUUCUUAAACACACCAGGCUCCCCAACCCAGUGCCUUUAUAUAACGGUUCCCUCCAAACCCUAACCCCUUCCAGGCCCAUGGUUAACAUUUCUUCAGUCACCUUUGAAACUUAACCACUUUUUAUUUUUAUUAUUCUCAUCUAUUAAAAGUAUACAAUUCAGGAUUUUGGUGUAUUCAGUAUUGGGUAAUUGUCACUGACACCAAUUUCAGAAUAUUGGCAUUACCCUCCCUCUAAGACUCUGUACUCCUCAGUGGUUCUGUUGACUAAGGCUGUCAAUAUCUCUGUCUUUAUGGGUUUGUCUAUUCUGAACAGUCCAUAUGAAUAAAAUCACAGCUUGUGGUCUUAUAUGACUGGCUCCUCUCACUCAGCAUCAUAUUCUCAUGGUUCAUCAGUGUUGUACUUCAGUACUUCACACCUUAUGUUGCCAAAUAAUAUUCUAUGACAUGGAUGAUACCACACUUGUAAUUCAUUCACUAAUGGGUAGGCAUCUGAGUGGUUUCCCCACCUUAGUUAUUAUGAAAAAUGCUACACAAGUUUUUGUGUGGGCUAUGUUUUCAUUUCUCUUGGGAAAAUUCCUAGGAAUGGAACUGCUGGGUCAUGUGAUCACCGUGCGUAAUCCUUUGAGGAACUACCAGUCCCACCACGGAAACUGCACCACAUUGCCCAGUGUGAAUUAGGGUUCCAACAUCUACACAUUUCUGUCAACACUUUGACUCUUUCAAAAUUAUAUCCCUUGUAGCUGGUGUGGCUAGUGUGGCUGUGGUUGAACUGUGCUUAUCUGAUGGCUAGUGAUGUCAUCUUUCUUUCCAGGACCCCACUGGCCAGUCACACAAUCUAGAGACAUAGCUCCCCAGAUCUUAAGUGGGUUCUUUAAAUAUUACAGAUAUAAUCUCCUAUUGGACACAUGAUUUACAAAAAUUGUUUCCAUUCUGUGGGUUCUGGCUUUACUCUUUUGAAGGUUUAAUUUGAAGAACAAGAGCUUUUUUUUUUUUUUUUUUUUUUUGGAUGAUCUCCAAUGUAUCUAACUUCCCUUUUGUUGCCUGUGCUCUUGCUACCAUAUUUAAGAAACCGUUCAAGGCCACAAGGACUUGAGAGAAUGUGCUCUCCCAAGAGUCUUACAGUGUCAAUUCUUACAGACUUUGAUACAUUUGGAGUUAAUUUUUGUAUUGGUCUGAGGUAGGAGAUUGAUUUCAUACCAUAACAUGUGUGUAUCCAGUUGCUGCAGUUCCCAUGUUGGAAAUACUGAAAUGAGAUUGGUGACACUGCUGAAAAUCAAUUGUCCACAAAUGUCCUUCCAUUUUAACUGCAGCAUUAUUUCCCUAGGAACCAUGACUGAUAGCCUCCAUACCCUGACCUCAUCAUGUCUAGAUUCCCAGUAUAUAUGUAUAUCACACAGAGACUAGCAGAGACUAUGUUUAUGUAAUAAUGGCACGCAAACUAACACAGAUGAUGAGCCACACAAUAUAUUUACAGUUUGUAGAUAAUUCAUAGAUAAUACCAUGGCUAAAAGAUACAUUCAUAUACUAUGCGCAAGCAAGCAUACAGUCCCGAGCCAGAUAUUGGAGGUUCAAAUGCAGCUCUGCCGUUCACUAACUACCUGGGCCCCACAUAUAUGGUUUUGCCUAUCUGAGCCUCAAAUUCCUCAUCUAUAAAUUAGAGAUUUACCCAUCUCAUGGUUUGCCAAGGUAACAUGUGGCCUAUGAAGUGCUAAUGAAGGAUAUAAGGAUAUGUUAUUAAGCAUGCCAUUCCUUAAGCUUUAAGAUCUGAGGACAGGGACCCUGUGUGUUUUGAGUUCCACUGUGUCUCCAUAGCCCCCACUGUUCCUGGCACAGGGAGGACACUGGAUGCAUACUCCUUGGAUUAAUGAGUGAAUGAAGGCAUGCAUGCAUGAAUGAGCCACAGACGGUUCUAAUCCCACCCUCCCACUGUCUGGCUUGUGAAUUCUUUAGGCCUCUAUAAAGAAAGACAGCAUUGGAAUCAUGGGUAAUUAUUCUGUGUUUGGAUGCAGAACUCUUAAGAGGAGUCCACUUUAAAAGGCAGAUAGAGAAAGCUGCUGUGGGAGAUGCUGUAGGCUAUCUAGUGUCCCUUCCUCCGUGAGCACCCCUAAAGACUUCCCAGAGCCUGCUGGACAGUGUGCAAGCUAUCAAUGCUCCCUGUGUGCUCCCAGCUCCCAGAAGCCCAUGAUUCAGAGGCAGCUGAUGUCUGACACUUAAUUCAGGCCACAUGCUGGAGGUCUGUGUCUUGAGGCUCGUGGGAGGUAAAGAGGCACAUUCCAAGGGGAAAGUGUCUUCUUCCCACAAAAGAGGAAAAUGUGGAGUGCCUCGAAACCCCCUGCUCCCCACCUCUGCUCUCAUGCCCUUCUUCCUUAGCCCCCCACCUCAGAACACACCAAGCUACACUGACUGCUAGUCCCAGGCUUCCUCCUGUCCACACCCCUGCCAAGCUCAUGUCACUCAGAGUCCUCAUUUCACCUGGCAGAUGAUCUCUGGGAGGCCAGUGGGUGAAUGAGUGACCCAAGGUCAUAGCUUAGCAAAUGAUGGCAGAGAAAUGACUAGAAACCAAAGCUCCUGACGUCAUGCUCAAAUUCUUACCCUAAACCUCACUCCAUCAGCAGAACGCCAGUGUAGCACUAUAGCCCAAGAGACCAGGGGAGGACCAGCCCCAGAAGUACUUAGGACCAGCCAUAUCCUGCAGCUCGUAAAAAAGGAGAAAGCCGACCGGCCUGACCCCUACCAAGAGCCCUCAUCCAGUGGCUGAUGGAAGCAGAGGCAGACACCCACAGAUAUACACUGAACUGAACUCUGGAACAUAGUUGCAGAGAGGAAGAAAUGAAGAUCAAAGGGGUCAGUACCAGGCUGGUGAAACCCACAGAAACAGCUGGCCAGAACAAGGAGGAGCACAUGGACCACAGACUGCUGUCUGGGAGGCCAGCACAGGACUGAUCCAGACCCCUGAACAUGGAUGUCAAUGAGGAGGCCUCCACACUCUAGGGGGCCCCUGGUAAUGGAUUAGUAUUUUUCCCUGGUGUAAGAAGGGACUAAGCCCAUCCCACUUGAAGGGAUGUACUCUUGGCUUGGACACGUGGGGGAGGGCCUCGGCCCAGCCCAGGAUGAUGUGGUGGACUUUGGGGAGCCCCAGUUG